GACGACCAUGACGAGCCUCUGAGGGGAAAGGUUAUAUCGAUUAUGAGGAAUCGAAGCAUAAGCGUAUAGCUUUUCCCCUUUGGUGCUUGUUCGAAACUUC
rnacentral:pre_miRNA from 14 species